rnacentral:rRNA from 1 species
AUUGAACGCUGGCGGAAUGCUUUACACAUGCAAGUCGAACGGCAGCACGGGGGCAACCCUGGUGGCGAGUGGCGAACGGGUGAGUAAUACAUCGGAACGUGCCCAGUCGUGGGGGAUAACUACGCGAAAGCGUGGCUAAUACCGCAUACGAUCUACGGAUGAAAGCGGGGGACCGCAAGGCCUCGCGCGAUUGGAGCGGCCGAUGGCAGAUUAGGUAGUUGGUGGGGUAAAGGCCUACCAAGCCGACGAUCUGUAGCUGGUCUGAGAGGACGACCAGCCACACUGGGACUGAGACACGGCCCAGACUCCUACGGGAGGCAGCAGUGGGGAAUUUUGGACAAUGGGCGCAAGCCUGAUCCAGCCAUUCCGCGUGCAGGAUGAAGGCCCUCGGGUUGUAAACUGCUUUUGUACGGAACGAAACGGUGCUCUCUAAUACAGGGCGC